GUGACAGUCUUACUUAAAAUUUUUUGGCCUUCCAUUGUAUAUGUUUGUUUUAAAAUGUUCUAACUUUUUGCAGCUAUUUAAAAUCCACAUAAGUUGUCAUUAACAAUUUCUACUGAGGGAUUUUUUUUUCUUGUUUUCCUCCAAACUUAAUGUAGAACAUCACUACCUAAUUAGCCAUUAAAAAUUAUGCUCACAGCUCAUUUGUUUUUGAAUGUAUCACUUGAACAAGCUUAUGUUGGGGUGGAUUGUCUGAGCCUCUAUGGUCUCCAAGUAAGUUUUUGCAAGAUGUCACAAUUGUCAAAGGUCAACUGUAAUGCAAGCUAAAAAGAAAAGAAGCAGGAUGAGGUAGUGAGAGGCUUGCUUGUUGAUGAUGAACUGUAGUCUGUGAGGACAAACAACUUUUCCUGGAUUAGAGGCGAUAUGCAUCAUUACUUGAUUGGAGAUCCAUGUGCAAGCAUGGCGUAACCAAGUUUAGAGGAAUUCGGUAAGGAAAAUGGAGGUUUUACCUGUCAUGUGGUUAGUAGGUGGAUGAGAGGAAGCAAUAAAGAUAAAACUGGAUGUACCUGUUUGAUGAGCAGAACAAACAUGCAUGGCCAGGGCCUCAUUUGAGCUUUGGCCUUCUUCUCUGAAGAGAUUUUUGUUCUCUUCUAAUGGAACUUAUGUCAUGUUCUGAUGGGGACGUGCCGACAAGUGUAUCACAACUGAUAUAACUAAAGAUGCUUUCAGUAACUUGAGCUUGGCACAACGUUGACAUCGGUGUAUAAAUGAGGAAGAUUUGGAGAAGCACGAGUUUUGGCACAAACUGGACUUCAUAGUAUGAAAAUGGGAUCUUCUAUGUUGCGUUGAAGGUGAUUUCAAUGUAAUAUGGUUCGAGAAAAGCGAGGGAGUGGGUGUUAGAGUUGUGCCCUGGAAAACCAAUGUGAAUCUUAUCCAUUGAUGGCAUGGAUGGUUUCCAGUGAUAUAUAUGAUUUUGAUCAUAAAUCAUGUUGACCAUGGGUCCUAGAUGGAUAUGUGGUUAUGGCAUAGUUAAACGUGUGGGACUUGGGAGUAUCAUAUAUGUACAUGACAUGGGUUAAAGGAGAGGGAUUCUCUUGGUUGUCCUUGGGUACUUGAGAUUGGACACAUCAGUCAUUGACUAGGGGAGAGUUGUGGGUUGUGUUUCUCAAUACCUUGUUGUACCAUGACCACCUAGCAGGUUGUAGGACAAACGUAUGAUUAUUACAUUAUUACGUUAUAUGUGGUCAUCCCGUGUGAGGGGCCAAUGGUGAGUCUGUAUGGAAGCUCUCUACCAUUGGGCACAAUUAGGAGUCGGUGUGCCUUUGCCCUACCCCACAUAGGAGUGUGAGUUUGCCAUGAAAAUAGGCUCCUAGUUUGGACUUGUUAGUCACUUGCAUUGGUGGAUCGAGGUAAAGUCCCUAGACUGAGAGGCCCAUUAUGCUUGGACUAUAAUUUACUUGAGGAUGUACUAGAUUUGAUUAAUCCUUAGACCUGAGGACAUGGUGAACUCAAGGUCUCGAUUACAAAUGCUUUCGCUUACUUUACGAGGUUAUCAUGUGGCUAAUAAAAGUGGUUGUAGCUUGGCCCAUCCAUCAAGGUCCAUUGAGAUUCAUAUGGGUCAACAAGGGAUCCUUUGGUUUCCUAAGAACUCACUUAUAGCUUGGAUCUUGGGGAUCUAAUGUUCAUGGUUUUUGGUCAACAUUUAAAAGGUUUUAAAAGGUUCAACAAAUGUUUUUAACCAUUAAAAUGGUUUUGAUUGCACUUGAUGAUGAUCUGAUGGUUUAGAUUUGGGAGUCCACUACUUGAUCUCCAUGGGCAUUGGUCUAUGGUGGAUGGCCAUGGCGGUGGAGGGAUUUGAUUAGAAAUGGGUACAUGGGAUAAGGCAAAAUCACAGGAUUCUCAUGGGUAGGCAAUGUAAUCAAAAUCAUUAUUGUAUCGUAAAUUGUAAUAGGGAUUGAAUCGCAAAUCAUAUCGAAAAUAAUUAGAUUU